GCGCCGCCAGGACAAAACAGAAACACAUGUACGGGCAGGAAAGGAGAGAGAUUCGGGAUUGGCGUUCGUCUGGAAGGGCCCACUCGCAUCCGCAACAGCACCCCCUGAAGGACGGGAUGACCCCGGAGCUGCGCCGCUGGCCACACCCUCAAACCAGCUGGACAAAUGUCCGUCCUCUUCCUGGUCCCGAGUUCGGGGUCUCUGUGGGCCGACAGAGAGGAGCUGAGGAGAAUCUUCCUGCACCACUUCCCAAUCACCAGCAGGGGGCGCCCUGGCCCUUUGUCUUCCUGUAAGUGAAACCAGAUUUGACUCCUCCUCCCCUCCAAAAUAUUAUAAAUAGCAUGACACAUUUUUAUGAAAGAUCCUGAAACAUUACCGGAAAGCUUUCGUCAUUUUGGGCUGACAAGCCGAGACAUGUGCUUAGCUGAUCUAACUUUUUUUUUUUUUUUUUUGAACCAAAAUCCUUUUUUCAGGGCGGAAAUGAUAAGCCUUGUGCAAGAACAGAUGUUUUGCACCCUUAGCUUUUGUGGAAGACCUCAGAUGUCUUUUUUCCUUUCUGCAGAAAUCCCCAAAAUUCAUCCAAGGGGGAUUUCCAGCUUGCACACGGUUCGUGCACAAAGCGGUUACCAUUUUUGUUCUCGUUUGUGUGAAUUCCAGCCACGUGGCUGGAUCUGAUUCUGGGCCUCUCCAGAGGCUGUCUAUCCCACCCUUCAUAACCCCAAGUUGGUUGGACUGCAAUUCCCAUCAUGCACCAACUAGCAAGGGAGGGCAGACUGAGAUAUUUGCAACCAAAUUUCUUUCAGGAAUGCCCUAUAAGGAAAAAAUA